rnacentral:hammerhead_ribozyme from 1 species
UUACUGCUGAAGAGUCUCAAACUAGGACGAAACAGUUGUCCAGUAC